rnacentral:rRNA from 1 species
UACGAAGGGGGCUAGCGUUGCUCGGAAUCGCUGGGCGUAAAGCGCACGUAGGCGGAUCGUUAAGUCGGGGGUGAAAUCCUGGAGCUCAACUCCAGAACUGCCUUCGAUACUGGCGAUCUUGAGUCCGGAAGAGGUGAGUGGAACUCCUAGUGUAGAGGUGGAAUUCGUAGAUAUUAGGAAGAACACCAGUGGCGAAGGCGGCUCACUGGUCCGGUACUGACGCUGAGGUGCGAAAGCGUGGGGAGCAAACAGG